rnacentral:rRNA from 1 species
AGUGAACGCUGGCGGUAGGCCUAACACAUGCAAGUCGAACGGCAGCACAGUGGAGCUUGCUCCUUGGGUGGCGAGUGGCGGACGGGUGAGGAAUACAUCGGAAUCUACUCUGUCGUGGGGGAUAACGUAGGGAAACUUACGCUAAUACCGCAUACGACCUACGGGUGAAAGCAGGGGAUCUUCGGACCUUGCGCGAUUGAAUGAGCCGAUGUCGGAUUAGCUAGGUGGCGGGGAAAAGGCCCACCAAGGCGGCGAUCCGUAGCUGGUGUGAGUGGAAGAGAAGGCAACAUGGAACGGAGACACGGUCCGGACUCCAAGGGGAGGCAGCAGUGGGGGAUAUUGGACAAGUGGCGCAAGGCUGAUCCAGCCAGACCGGGUGGGUGAAGAAGGCGUUCGCGUUGUAGAGCCCUUUUGUUGGGAAAGAAGUCCAUCUGGUUAAUACCCGGCUGGGAUGCCGGUACCCAAAGAAUAAGCACCGGCUAACUUCGUGCCAGCCGCCGCCGUAA